CCAGGGGUGACUGCCAGCUCUCACCUGCCCAGCUCACUCAGGCUUGCAAGCCUGAGCGAAUCCAUUAGUUCUGUGUCGAGCAGUGAACCCAAACUAAGCUACAAAUAAUGAGAUGUAGUACCUCGGUCAAAACAAAAGACUGCGGACAACUAACUGAUACCUCAGAAAAGGGAGUGAUACCCAUAUGUUGAUGAAGGCAGUAUAAAAAUAUUACCUGUUCAAACAGGAGGGGGGAAAAAAGAAGAUAAAAGUUAUCUCACGUUACUCACUGUUCCAUGCAAACCAGACAGAGCGCUGAUCCUAUUCCUUUCACCUUGACAGCGCCCACCAUGUUCAACGGCACAACCAGGACUGUGGAGAGAAAGGCAAAAGAAAGCCUACGAAAAAGCAGCGCUUCAUAAUUAGGGGCCCUUGGGCUGCAGUAAACCCCUGAUGGGGUAAAACUGUUGGACGUGGGGCAAACCUGGAUGGACACAAGGCCACCACCUCCUCCAGAAAACUCAGGGCAAAGCACAGGUAAACACUUGGGCCUUGUGUGGCUGUGCUCUGGUUGAGGCUGGGGGAGGGAAAAUCACUGCCAUUGCACUGAAUGAACGUGACUCCUGAAUCUCCUUACUCUGCUUCUCCUCCUGCCCCCAUCUCUCGUCCUCUGGAACACCACACAUGCGGGAGGCUCUCAGGUAAGCAAAGAGGAGACGGUCACAGCAAAUGACAGCGCCAGAGCUGAGGGCAGCACGCACUGAUAAAUCCCUGCCAAACCCUUUUCCCUUCUGAAACACAAUCUGUGUAAUGGAAAUAAUUACCAAAGAAACAGACAAAACUACUUCUGAAUGAAAUUUAAGCUCCAGCAGACCAGAGAAGCGGCAGGAAACGCCAAGCACAAAGUAACCAUCCCUUCAUCCUGAAUUCACACCAUUUU
ensembl:lncRNA